rnacentral:lncRNA from 10 species
AGUGGCGGUCAUUUUUGCAGCGCUUGGGUGCAUCCAGACCGUCAGAGCUUUGGGAGCGCUUUGUUUGGCGACAGUCGGAAGGCGCGAGGGGAGGGGUCCUCCCGCUGAACAGUGGGGGUUCUAAGGGUCGGCGGCGGCGGGGUUGACGGCUUUGCCUAGGUCCCUCCGCCCGUAGCUGUCGGGUCCCGGCCCCGCUCUGCCCACAGACUCCGAUGGCUGCGGCCGCGCUGAGGGCCCCGACUCAGGUGAGCGCUGCCUCUACUGGGCCUCACCCUCCAUCCCCAAAUUAGUGCCUUCUUGGGUCACUACGGUCGAGAUCCUCAUGUCCAGUACAGUGGGGGCUCGUGGGUGGGGUCCCUAUUUCCAGAACUUGGGUGAUGGGGCACGGAAGAGGGUUACAGGCAAAGGGACCAGCGUUUCUAAACUCUUGGAGACACAGUGAAGAAGGUUCAUACCUGGAGUGCCAAGGUUACUGUGUCUCCAGAAACACAUAUGGACCUCACAAAGGGCUGUGUGACCUUUGAGGACAUCGCCAUUUACUUCUCACAGGACGAGUGGGGACUUCUUGAUGAGGCUCAGAGACU